rnacentral:tRNA from 1 species
GGUAGUGUUGCUCAGUGGCAGAGCACUUGCCUCAAGUGUGAGGCCUGAGGUUUGAUCCCCAGCACUGCUU